rnacentral:rRNA from 1 species
UACGGGGGGGGCAAGCGUUGUUCGGAAUUACUGGGCGUAAAGGGCUCGUAGGCGGCCAACUAAGUCAGACGUGAAAUCCCCGGGCUUAACCUGGGAACUGCGCUUGUUACUGGCAGGCUUGAGUGUGGCAGAGGGGGGUGGAAUUCCACGUGUAGCAGUGAAAUGCGUAGAGAUGUGGAGGAACACCGAUGGCGAAGGCAGCCCCCUGGGCUAACACUGACGCUCAUGCACGAAAGCGUGGGGAGCAAACAGG